UGAGUAACCUGCCCUUAACUCUGGGAUAAGCCUGGGAAACUGGGUCUAAUACCGGAUAUGACUCCUCAUCGCAUGGUGGGGGGUGGAAAGCUUUAUUGUGGUUUUGGAUGGACUCGCGGCCUAUCAGCUUGUUGGUGAGGUAAUGGCUCACCAAGGCGACGACGGGUAGCCGGCCUGAGAGGGUGAUCGGCCACACUGGGACUGAGACACGGCCCAGACUCCUACGGGAGCAG
rnacentral:rRNA from 1 species